rnacentral:lncRNA from 1 species
UGUCUGCGCGAGUACGUAAUUAUGCUACAUUAUUCCUAGGGUACUAUGACUAUUACACAGACUAAGCAAAUAUUCUCUUUUUGGGUGAUAUAGGGUAAAAUUUUUAGGUUCCCUGGCUAUUCCGAUCUCAUCAAGACAUGUGUUAGUUUUACCUUGGAGAGAAUGUAGUUGAUCAGGCUACAUUCACUCCUUGGUAUCACUAAGAACAGUCCCGAGUUAACCGAGAUACCAGCAUUAUGGUGUUUGAUUCAGCGUUAGGUCCUUACUCCUAAUGCAAGCAAGUGUGUUUUAUUUAUUUGUUUUGUUCAGAGUUAUGUUAGUCCCUCUUUUUGGUUUAUAGUUGCAUAUCAAUGUAUGGCUCGACAUGCUAGUUCACUAUAAACAAAGCUCUGAUACCAACCUGUCACACCCCCGAACCAGACGGCGGAAACGUCCGGGGGCUGUCGUGACUCAAUUGAAUACCAUAACAUUGAAUAUAUAUGAAACAAAACAACAUUCGUCACCAUUCAUCAACAUAAUACAACCAGUAGUGUUUACAUGUCAUACAUUGUUUGAGAUAUUACAUUUCCAAAAAUUAAUAUUGUUUGGUUCAUUCAAAAAUAAACUGCAACCGUCACUGAGCAUGAUUUCCCUUGACUCACUGGUUUCCUGAGAAUACAAGUAUUUUGAAAAACGUCAACAUAUGAAAUGUUGGUGAGUUCAUAAGUAGUGUUUGAAAUCGAAUGUUUAUAUUGUUUGAAAAACCACCAGAAAAUCCGAUAUUUUCUGAAAAGAAAAGCUUUCAAAAACGUUUGUGAAGAUCCAUAGGUAUGCUUGUUUGUUUCUAUACUUGCAAAAAUUGUUCAUUUAAGAUGUAUGCGUUUAAAAUCUGUAUGUGAUAAAAACCCUAGGGAAACCCGAUGUUCCCCUAGUUCUUUUGAAAUCCAUUGAGUUGCGUUGAAACCAUUACAAAAAUAGUAGUAUCGGUCCCAAGCGACGUUGGAAGGUUCUCGAGCAUUGAUUAUUUACUACAAACCCGCAUUACACAAAUGCCCGGUUUAUAGAUAUACCAACGAUUCCCGAAGGCGUCGUCAGUACUAAUCACGUUAUCCAAUCGCCCGGACUAUGAGUGGUCCCACAUCCGAAGAGAAAGAGGUCACGAAGACCCCGGUAACUCUAUUAACCGGCUGGGGAAAAAUGUGUGCGAGGGGUCCCCGACCCGCCUCGUAAAAUGUGUAGACUUUUCUAGCAAUACCAUGGCCCUUGGGGUCCAAUGGUACAAGCCAUUGAAAGUCACCCUACGUUGUGCCAAGUCGGUAAAACUCAACACUUCGUAGAAAAAAAAUGUCUUCGGGCCUUAAGAUCAGGUCAUUGGGCUAGCUAGGCCCAACAAACAAGAUUUUACACUUUUGGGGCCCGAAGAUGGUGCGUAGACGUCUGUGCACACUCGUAUGUAUGUGUAUUACCAAUCGUUAUUUGUAUGUAUCAAAGAGUUAGUAGUUGUAGAUUUCCAUUGGCUCGAGACCGAGCCAAUUCGUUUAGCAACGACUUUUGGUAUUGUAAUGAGUUGUAUUUCGUUGAUAGUUGAGGUGUCAUUAUUUGAUCACAUUGUACAUAAUGAAUCAGCCUUGAAAUAUUUCUGUUUUCAGCCCCUCAUUAUUUGUAAAAUUUACAUUUUCAACCCUUUUAUUUAAAUAUUUCCCGGUUUGGUCCUUAAACUAUUUUUCUUGACAUUUUAACACCAAAAAUUAUUGAAAUUAAUAUUUUCCAGCAUAUUUUUCAAAGAAAACAGUUUAAGUCCCUGAAAAUGCAGUUUUUCUCGGUUUUAGCCCAUCUUUUCGCAAUUUUGACAAUUUUGGCCCAAAAUGGAAAAUUUUUGCAACUUUGGUCCUUUUUAAAUUUAAAAAGCAUUUUAAACCUUUGAAAAGGGUUUGGGACACUUAUAGUCCACUGUUUUACAGAAAGUUACAGUUUUGGCCCUCCAAAACAGAAAAAUUCGCAUAAUGGGCCUUAUUGGGCCGAAAUUUGCAUUUUUAGCCCAAUAGGCUUGAAAUUUAUGUUUUUAAUCCACCAAUUGAAUAGAAUUCCAGAAAUAGCUUUAUUGAAACUGUUUUGACACAUUUCAACCAUCAGAAUCUGUAAAAUGUCAUUUUGGGCCCUUAAUUUUGUAUUUUUCACAUUUUUGGCCCAAAAUGUGUGUUUUUAGCUUAAAGAAAAUUGUUGCUAACCACUUGGCUAUUUAUCUAGUAUCACUUAUUAUGUAGGAACAUAUUUGAAGCUAAUAUCAUAAAACAUGAGUUAUAUCUCGGUUUUGAGGGGUUUAAUGGCUAGAUCCAACAUUAAAACACAUAUAAGCAUACAUAUAAGCAUGGAAAUCAUACAAGGCAUACAAAUACAUAUAGAUCUACACUUUCACUUGUAUUCCCCCCCACAAAAACUCUUAAAAACAGAAAAUAGGGGUAUGAAUCUCACCUUGGGGUGUUGGUUCGGUUUUUGCAAUGAAAAUGGAAGGAAAAAUGAAGUGUUUUUGGCCUUGGCUCCCUUUGGUGAAGAUCUUGAGUUUGAGAUGGUUUGAGGAUGCUAGAUCACGAUUUUUGUAUAGAUUAGGGGAGGAUUUUGAUAACAAAAGAAUUUAAACCAUAGAUCUAUGCAUAAUCUUACCUUAGGAGAUGAUUUACUUGCAAAAAUCCCUUUGGAAAGCCUCUAAAUUUCGAGAUCUUUGGAGAGGGGAAGGAGAGAGCUUCUUGAGAGAAUUUUUGAGAGAAUUUUGUGAGAUGUGUGUGUGUGUUGGUUAUCCUCGGCCGAAACAAGAAGGGAGAGGGAGAGAGAGAGAGAGAGAAGGAAGAAAAGACUUUGAGGUGAUGCUUGCAUGGAUGAAUGUGAUUUUUGCAUGGAGAACCCAUGGGUAAAAAUGAGGUGGCACUUAAAAGUCAACCUCUCCUUGUGUUUGGGCCUUGGGCCGAGAAUAUGAAGGGAAGGAGGAAAAAUUUGGGCUUUUGCCCCUAAGCCCAACAUUAGAGGUAGUUUAGGGUAUUUAUUGGACUUAUAAAAUAAAAUUGUGAUUUUUGUGCUUUAUUAAGCUAGGUUAGGUUUAAUUAUGGAUCAAAACUUGUGUUUUAUUUCCUUCUAGGUUCUACCUAGCCCAAAAUAUUGAAAUAAACGAGUGUGGGUCUAAUUAGAGCCCAAUUAGGGUCCUAAACCCAUGAUAGUCAAAUUGGAAGGUCAUUGGUCCGUUUGGAUCCAAUAAGGAAGUCUUAGUCCAAAAUGGACUUAACAAGAACUUCUAGGGUCUCCAAUUGUUUGAUGACUACUUAUAGUACUUGUAUUUGAUUGAAGUUUUUGAUUCACAUUAGGUUGAAUGCAUAGAUUACAUGGCUCAAAAUUUACAGUUGUGACAAGUUUCACCUCAACCCAUCCCACAUAAUAUGUCGACAUAUAACACAACUAAUGCACAUACAUAUAAUCACAUAAUACUACAGGUAGUCCUACGGAUCUACCUAACUGACAUAACAACUAGCAUGCAAACAGUCAGACCAACUAUAGUUCACUAAGCAUAACCACGUCCGACCUACCAGGAUACCGAUCUAGCAGAUCAUACUAGCAUAUAACCAUCCUAUCUACCAGGAUAUCAAGCUAACAUAUCACAAUACUAAUGAUUCCAAUAACCAAAAAUAGGGUCGGCCUUGGUGCCUUAGACCCUUGAGUACAGUGAGGAUAACUCACCUCGCAAUUGUCAACUCGAAAGAUAAGCUCAAACUCUUGGAUCACCGCCACAAACUCCACCACCUAUAUUCGCCACACAACCAUGCUCAUAAAUUCCCAAAAUGCCCCAGAAAUCCCAUAGUUAAUCCUUGGUCAAAGUCAAAGUCAACUGCCAAGGUCAACAGUCCAUGUUGACCUGAACUCGUCGAGUACAACCAGCCACUCGCCGAGUUCCUUGCAUAACUCGUCAACUCACCGAGUCACCUGAGUGACUUGUCGAGUUCCUAAUGUUUGUGGCCGUGAACUCCUUGGCUAACUCGUUGAGUUUCCCUUGAAACUCGCCAAGUUCAUGUGUGUCCAAAGGUUGGGAAAACCCUAGCUGACUAGCCGAGUCACUCUACUGACCCGCUGAGUCUACGACAAUAUUCAUCGGACUCGCCGAGUUGACCAUGCAACUCGCCGAGUCCCUUCAGUCCUUCAUCCAAACAGAUGCUUUUUAAGCCAUGCUAAGGUUCCACAUUGUAGAUCCAAAUCCCCAAGGCAUGGUUAUCACGUAAAGUUGCAAAAUUCACGUGCAUGCAAGGCUCUAGAGACUCUAAAUGACAAUCCAAGAUUGCAAUGGAGUUUUACACCUUAGGAGAGUCUCAUUCUUACAAAAGUUGGAAGUUUUAGGGACUUAGAGACCCAAGGGAGUUUAGAUUUGAAGUUUCAACUUCAGAUCUUAGCUCAAACACAAUAAAGGCUUCCCAAUAUGCUAGAAAAGCCCUAAAAUCCACCCAAAUGAAAUCUAGAAUGAAAUGAGAUCAAGAUAACAGCUUAAUACCUUCCAAAGGAUGCCAACUGAGGUAGAUCUCUAAUUCCCACACAUUCCUUUCUUCUAGUCACUUGUUCUCCAAGCUUUUCUCACCAAAAAUCCUCUUCUAAAGCUUGAACACAUAAAUGGAGCACACUCACAUGAAUUAGGGUUUAUGGAAUAUCAAGAGGCUAUAAGGGGAGGCUAAGGAGGCCAAUUAUCCUUUAAAUAGGGUGCAAAACCUUGGAAAUUAGGGUUUCAUCCUCCAGCUCCUACUCGUCGAGUCCCCUCUUGGACUCGUCGAGUAGGUCACUUAAACACAUAGAUCAACCCGCUGCUACUCGACGAGUCAGGGCAACCAACUCGUCAAGUAGACCUUGAAAUCAAGAAAAUCUUAUGACCAAAAAUCAAUACCUGAGAAUCGAGAUAUUACAAAUCUCCCUCACUUGAAAUAGACUUCGUCCUCAAAGUCUACUGUGGUGAACAACUCCGGAUAGUGCUCCCGCAUCUCUGCCUCUGGCUCCCACGUCCACUCAGACCUUAUUCGGUGCUCCCAUUGUACCUUUACCAAAGGUAUAUCCUUGUUCCGUAGAACCUUUACUUUCCUCUCCAUAAUGGACACGGGCCUCUCAACAUAAUUCAGGCGCUCAUCGACCUGAAUGUCAUUCAAUGAUACUACCGCCACCUGAUCCAUAAUGUAUUUUCGCAAUUGUGAAAUAUGAAAGGUGUUGUGGAUCUGACUGAGCUUAUCCGUAGCUCUAACCUACAUGUCCCCUUGCCAACCCUUGCAACGAUCCUGAACGGCCCAAUGUAUCGGAGACCCAAUUUCCCCCUCUUCCUGAAGCGGAUCACACCCUUCCAGGGCGAGACCUUCAAGAGUACCAUGUCUCCAACCUGGAACUCUAAUUCCGAUCGGCGUUUGUCGGCAUAACUCUUAUGCUGACUCUGAGCGGUCUGUAGUCGCUGCCUAAUUUGCUGAAUCUUCUCGGUAGUCUACAAGACUACCUCCGUCCGUCCCAUCACCCUAUGUCCGACUUCACCCCAACAAACCGAGGUGCGACAUCUCCUCCCAUGUAACAGCUCGAAAGGCGGGGUGCCAAUGCUGGAAUGGUAGUUGUUGUUGUAGGCAAACUCUGCAAGGGGUAGGUCGGAAUCCCAGCUCCCACUGAAGUCAAUAACACACGCCCUCAACAUGUCCUCGAGGGUCUGAAUGGUCUGCUUGCUAUGUCCAUCAGUUUGUGGAUAGAAUGUUGUGCUAAAGUGCAUUCGCAUGCCCAGUUCCUCGUGGAUCUUGUGCCAGAAACUGGAGGUAAAUCUAACAUCCCAUCCCGGUCGGAGACAAUGGAGAUUGGAACCCCAUGGUAAGCAACAAUCUUGUGGACGUAUAUGUCAGCCAACAUCUCGGCCGACGAACUCUCCCGCAUUGCCAAGAAAUGGCCACUCUCGGUUAAUCUCGGCAACUUGGUAAUGAAGUCUAUCGUGAUCUAUUCCCAUUUCCACAUGGGAAUUUCUAGGGGCUACAGCAUACCAUGCGACCUCUGAUGCUUGGCCUUGACCAUCCUACAGGCCAAGCACCUCUCGACAUACCAAACGAUUUAUCGCUUCACCCAUGGCCACCAGUAACUUAAACUCAGGUCUCGAUACAUCUUGGUGGCCCUCGGGUGAAUAGAGAAGUGAGACUCAUGAGCCUCCUCCAUGACUGUCUGUCUAACCCCAACAGACAUCGGAACCCAUACCCGACUGCGUCGGGUCAAUAAUCCCUAGCUAUCCUGCACAAAUCGGGUGUUCUCGCCCUUGAUCCUCUCCAUCUUCCAGUUCUCCGGUUGUAUGCCCUCAACCUGAGCAUCCCUGAUCAAGCUCACCAGUGAAGAAUCCACCGCUAUCCUCAUACAUAUCGCUAGGGUGGAAGACCGAGCUGACUUGCGGCUCAAAGCGUCCGCCACCACAUUCGCUUUACCGAGGGUGGUAAAGGAUCUCGCAAUCAUAGUCCUUAACUACAUCCAUCCAACUGCGCUACCUCAUGUUCAGGUUCGGUUGAUCCAUGAUGUGUCUCAAGCACUUGUGAUCCGUGUAUAUGGUACAACGGACCCCCAUCUAGAUAAUGUCUCCAUAUCUUGAGAGCGAAAACCACCGCUUCCAACUCUAAAUCAUGAGUUGGAUAUCUCGUCUCAUGCGGCUUCAGCUGUCGCGAUGCGUAAGCUACCACCUGUCCUCUCUGUAUGAGGACUGCCCCUAAACCUGUGAUGGAUGCGUCACAGAACGCCACAAAAUCCUCCACUCCCUCCGGGAGUGUCAAGAAUGGAGCCUCGCACAACCGCUGACGAAGAGUCUCAAACCCCCUAUGCUGCUCAGGGCCCCACCGAAAAUCCACCCCUUCCUCGUUAGACGAGUGAGGGGUACUGCACUCUUAGAAAAAUCUCAAAUGAAUCUCUGGUAAUACCCUGCUAAUCCCAGAAAACUCAUGAUAUCCGAAGGAGACCUUGACACCUCCCACUGCAUGACUGUCUCGAUUUUGGCCAAGUCGACCAAAAUUCCCUCCUGGUUAAUGAGAUGUCCAAGUAACUGGACCCCUCGCAACCAAAACUCACACUUCAAGAACUUGGCAUACAGUCGUUCUAGUCUCAUAACUCCCAAUAACUCCCUGAGGUGUUCCUCGUGCUGCUCUCGGGUCCUGGAAUACACCAAGAUAUCAUUUAUGAACACGAUGACUGAGCGAUCAAGCAUCGGUCUGUGAACCCGAUUCAUCAGGUCCAUGAAUAUUGUUGGUGCAUUGGUGAGCCCAAAUGGCAUCGUCACGAACUCGUAAUGACCAUAACGAGUCCGAAACGUGGUCUGCUCCACGUCCUCCUCUCUGACCCGGACCUGAUGAUACCUCGACCGCAAAUCAAUCUUGGAGAACCAAGACGCACCCUGCAACUGAUCAAAUAGAUCGUCUAUCCUCGGGAGUGGAUAACGGUUCUUUACUGUCAACUUUUUCAACUCCCUAUAGUCAAUGCACAUCCAGUGCGAACCGUCCUUCUUCUUGACGAAGAGGAUCGAUGCUCCUCAUGGAGAACUGCUAGGUCGAAUGAACUGCUUGCCCAACAGUUCCUGCAGCUGUGAAGACAACUCUUGUAUCUUGGGUGGCACCAACCGGUACGGCGCCUUGGCAAUAGGAGCAACACUCGGCACCAGGUCGAUCCGGAACUCGACCUGCCUCUCCGGAGGCAUCCCUGGCAACUCCUCUGGGAACACGUCGGCAAACUCCCUAACCACUGGAACCUCUGAAACUAAAGUAUGAUCUCUGAACCGCGUAUCCACCACAUACGCUAGAUAACCCGUACACCUGUGCUGAAUAUACUGUCGAGCCCUGGCAGCUAAACAAAACCAUGAUCCCACUUUGGUGCCCUCGUCAUAUACAAUCAGUUCUCCCCCACUUAGGGUUCAAACUACCACCCACUAGCCCUCUCAAUCUAUCAUGGAACCAAAUCGACUAAGCCAAUCCAUCCCCACAAUCACGCACACCUCCCCAUGGGAAUCAAUAUCAAAUCUAUCAGAAAGGACACUCCGAAGAUCUCCAACUCACAUCCUCGGUAGACAAAAGAAGCAGAAACUUCAUGUUCGUUGGCGAUAGAGACUCACAAUAGACACUCUAGCUCGCCUACUGGCACACCGAACUCCCUACUAAAUGUCUGAGAUAUGAAAGACCGACUCACUCCCGAGUCAAAUAACACCAUUGCAAGCAAGAAGUUCACUAAAAACGUACCUAAUCACAGGUACAACGAAUAAGCAUAACACAUAUAUAAUAAAUGAGAUAAAUGAUAGAAACAUACCAGCAACCACAUCCGGUGCUGCCCUGGCCUCCUCUACUAUAAGCUGGAAGGCACAUCCCUGAGCCUUCAGAAGCUCUACCUUAACUGGCCUCCUGAUAGCUUCAUUUUAUUUAUUUCUUUUUAUAGUUUAUUUUAGCACAUUUCAUUCGCAUUUUAGUUAAUUUCCAUGCAUAUUUUCCCUUUUGUUAUUUUUAUGAACAUUUCGGUGUACUUUCUAGUUUCUUGAGCAUUAUUGCAGAUUUUCUUGGAGACUAGCUGAGCGGGACUCUUUGGAGGCGAUUGGGCUUGAAGGGAAAUGGGGAUUUCGUGCUUGAUGGCUAUGGAGGUGAUUCAUGGAGUGGACGUCUCAAUUGCUUGAAGGCUUGGAAGUGUUGAACUUUAAAUUUGAAAGGCACGGGAAAAUUCUUGAGUGUGCAAGAUCGAUGUUUAGGAGUUUGCGGAAGUUUUGAGUGAUGUGGAAAGACAAAUUGGGCUCAAAUUGAAGAAAUAUUGAAGAAAAAUGGGCUAGAAGCUGAUUGGACUCGAACUGGGCCAAUGGAUUAGCUGUGGGGGGCCAAGACUUGAAGAAGCCCAAAAUACCCGUCAGAGCCCGCGGCCCGCGUAAGAUUCCCCGCGGCCCACAUGGAUUCGUGACAAGGGCAAUUUCGGGACUUUGCUAAGAGCUCUAUAUUGGGAAGGUGGAUGUGCCUCUUUAGUCUGAUCUUGAAGGUCCGAGUUUGACUUGUUCUCUCUGGAGUUGGGGGUGCUUUUGAAGGCCAAGAACACCUCAAGAACAUCUUGAUUUCACCUCUUGAUUAUUGUAAAAUGUUUGGUACAAUCUCAUCUAACUUUGUUUCUUUGAAUUUAGCCAUGCUUGGCUAAACUAAUCUUGGUUGACUUUUUGUUGAAUCCUUUGAACUUUUGUUGAAUGUUGAAGAAUCCAUGAACUUGUUCUUAAAUCUUUAUGGAAAUGUUUUGUGUUUUAUCAUAUUAUCACUACUAGUAUGUUUUUAUUCAUGAGUUUAAAUGUGUUUGUGGUGAUUAGUUGGCUAAUUUCUUGAUUAAGUAAAGGAUCCUCAAAUUAGCAAGCAACAAAUGAUUUUUGUGUUGUUUUUGCUUCACACAAUCAUAAAAACAUUUCCUCCAACAUGGUGGUGAAAGCAUUUGACCCCUCUUGGAUUUGGUGACUUUUUGGUUCUUAAUGCUAGUUGACUUUCACUAAUUACAUGCUAUUUGGAAUUAGUGACUUUGACUAAGGAAAUUGUUAUGAGCUUCUCUAGCCAUUUCAACAAUUAAGAAAAGUCUAGGUAAUCUCAAGUUUCUUGGAUUACUAUAGCCAAAUUAAGGAUUUAAAUCAAAGUAUUGCACCAUUGGAUUCUAAUGAUAUGUUCAUCAAAAGUCAAAGUGAGGAAACUUUAAGUCAACCAUCUCUCCUUUAUUGAUUUUACAUCAAACUCUUAUUUUUGUUGCAAUUUUCUCUUUAAAUCAUAGUUAAUUCUAGUUUGUUUCAAGUAUUUCAAAUCAUCAAAAACCCCAUUUUUAAUUUAUUGUCAUAUUCCAAGUAUUUUUACAAAGAGAUUUUUCAUAGAGUUAUCAAAUUGAACCAAUCUCCAUGGAUUCGAUCCCUUUACCGCUAUAUACUAUUUUAGUGUGUAAUAAUUAGGGUUAUUAAUUUUGUUGGCCUCGACAACCACCACCUCCCAUCAAAAAUCCUUAAUGUAGCUGGUGCGGGAACCUGCGCCGGCUUAGCGGCAAGCAACAGGCAGUUGGCCUUCAAGUGGCCAACCUGAUCAUAGGGAUAACAUAACCUCAAACUCGGAACCGGGGCGGCCUGGCGACAAUCCUUCGCAGUAUUAGACCCUUGCUGCACUUUCCAGAAUGACCCACUACCAGCUCGACAAACCCCAGAAUGACCCUUGCUGCACUUUCCACAAGUACGACUCUACUAACCCCCUGUCCUAGAAUUGGCAGUCUUAGACCGCUUAGGCGCCAGCUGUGACUGUUUCGGGGCCUGCCGCUGCUCCCUCAACUGCAGCUCGAUCUCCAACUCACGCCUCCUAGCGUUCUCCUGCAACUCCAAUAGAGUAUCACAUCGAUGGGUAGACACAACCUGACAGAUGUCAGUCUUGAGCAUGUUCAAAUAACGGGUCAUCUGAGCCUGCUCGGAACCAAAUUCUGGGCAGAACAUCGCCCUCUCUGUGAACAUGCGGGUGAUCUCCGUCACCGACUCCCCAUCCUGUCUCAAACUCAAAAACUCCUGUGACAACCGUUACCGCUCAACCUGUGGAAUGUAUCGGGCAGGAACAUAUCCAUGAACUUCUCCCAAGUAACAGCAACUCUCUGAUCAUUAGUAUACGACCCAGUCGUCAAUCUCCACCAAUCCUUGGCCCCGGACCUCAGCACGCUCAGAGCACACCAGACCUUCUGGUCAGUAGGACACGAGCAAGUAAAGAAACACCCAUCCACAUCUGAAACCCACCUCAUAUCCUUGAUGGGAUCCUGCGUCCCAUCAAAAGUAGGGGGUUUCGUGUUAUCAAAUUCCCUGUACUAGAAGCCCCAAGCGACAGCCGUCUCUGCAAGGGUUAUGUAUCGCUCGUCGAAGUACUCGACCAUGGCGGUCUUAAUAGACCCAAACGUCUCCGGUAGUUGUACCCGGAACAAAGUGGCAACCUCAUCAUGCAAGAUCUCCCGAAUCCUGGCGACCAACUCAUUUGUCCCCGUCUGCACCACAGGCUUAGGUGUUGUUGGCCCUCCUGGCUCCCGUCUCCUGAUCCUGAUCCUGAACCGGAUCCAAUCACAAAGUGUCUCAUCAUCACCAUUCUGAAACAUACCAAAAGAUAUCAGAUAAUCCACAUAAAUAAUCGGGAACCAACUCCCGACUAAACCCUAGGGGUUAUGACUUCCUUGCUACGCGUAUGGGUCUUGUGCUUUCAGUAGUACGAGCACAUACUACCUUCCACACCUACCCAUAUUUGUCUCAAGUAUCAUUACUGUUGGAUUAGUGUCUAAGCCCGUAACCAUAUUUGGUAAGUACUUGACCCGGUUGUGCAUGGUCCUUUUGGGUUGCCUUCACCAAAGCAACUUGACUGGAGAUAUAAUAGAGAAAGAGGCUAUUGUGGUUUAUUAAUAUAUUAUAAGAAUAAUAUAUUAAAAGAGAAAUCAUAUUUAUUUAGUUAACAUUGGUCAAGAAUUAAUUAAGAAUUAAUUUUGUGAUCGAAGUUAACUGAACUAAGGGGACUAAACUGUAAUUAUGUGAUAGUUGCAAAGUAGGGCAAAGGAUGCCCUAUACGAUAGGGUGGACGAGUAAUCAGAUAAGCCUAUGUCUGAAAGUAGGGCAAGUGUAUCCAGGUGGCCAAGUAAUUAGAUAAGCACUGCUGCGAGACCAAACACACGCACUACCAGUUUCCCGGUCUCAUCUCGGCCUUUCCCGAAUCGAGUACAGAUCCUCUGCUUUCAGUAGUACGGGCCCAUACUACCUUCCACAUCUAUCCGUACUUUCCUCAAGAACUGCUUCGACUCCACCAAGUCCCUUUCACUACUACUGCUCCCAGCACAACUGUUCCUACGCUUAUCCUAGGGAAACCUCUGACUCAAACCAAACCAAUCCUCAGCCGCUGAAGGCCUCCUUGUGAUUCCAAUUAGCCAUCACCUGGAUACCAUCACAUGUGACGAGGCUCAGAUAAUCCUUCGAGUAAAAGUCUCGUCCCUACAACAGUUUGACUCAAACAAGAGCUGCGCAAUAGGGCCAAAUCCAACACUCUGAGAUUAUUCAACCUUGAUCACAUGUGACGUGACGUAUCCACCUAAUGGCUAACUCCCAUCACUCAGAAUCCCACAAAGCACAAAGCAAGCAGCAUUCGGAUAAAGGAAACAUACUCAAACAAUCAUAAUCUCAUAUCAAGAAUUUGUACUAACAUGCAACAUAAGCUCAUACACUCAGGCAUAACCCAGACAAGCUAUCCUACUACUAUCUAACCAGCACUAUAAUGCAGCUCGAAAGCACAUAUAACAGGCACAUAAGGAAUCCUCCCUAGAUCCUUAGUCCUAAUCUAGCAUGCUGUUCUACUAACUGAUAUUCAUAACAUAAACUUGUAUGGGUAUUUUGGGGUACUUACUUGAGCUCGACUGAUUGCAUGCACCACACCCNUCUGACGCUUGAACUCGCCAAGCACCACAAUGGACUCGCCGAGUUGAGGCCUACUCGCCGAGUACAUAAACUUGUAUGGGUAUUUUGGGGUACUUACUUGAGCUCGGCUGAUUGCAUGCACCACACCCCUUUCUCUUAUCGAAAUUAUUUUUGCUUUUCUAAAACUGUUUCCUUUCUCAAAACUCUUUUUACAAAACUGCAUUUUGAAAACUUUCAUACCAAUCCCUUAGUUUGAGUUUAGACACACCCGAGAGUAUGUCCGAAUCCCUCAAACCAAGGAUCUGAUACCAACUUGUAACAACCCAAAAAUCCGUACCAAAUUUUUUUCUUUAAAUCAUUACUAAAACCAUAUUCAUAAAAACAUAUCAUAAACCAUAACAUAAUUCAUAGUUUUAAUUUCCAAAACAUAUGUUCAUUAUCAGAGUAAAACAUCCCAGACUGUCUAAUCUAUGGUGUGUGCCAUGCGAUCACCCCGAGCUCUUCCCUCCGCUACCGGAAGUACCUGAAACCAAAACUGAAAACCGUAAGCACGAAGCUUAGUGAGUUCCCCCAACCUACCACAUACCAUGCAUAAACACAUACUGUACAUACUGGGCCAGUCCCUCUAUUUUAGGCCUCGCCCCUACCUCGGGCCUCGCCCGCUACAACGGNNNNNNNNNNNNNNNNNNNNNNNNNNNNNNNNNNNNNNNNNNNNNNNNNNNNNNNNNNNNNNNNNNNNNNNNNNNNNNNNNNNNNNNNNNNNNNNNNNNNNNNNNNNNNNNNNNNNNNNNNNNNNNNNNNNNNNNNNNNNNNNNNNNNNNNNNNNNNNNNNNNNNNNNNNNNNNNNNNNNNNNNNNNNNNNNNNNNNNNNNNNGUGAGAUACGGUCCCGACCCACACUCACUCUUUCCCUAAUCUGGGCCUCGCCCCUACUCUACUACUAAUGAGAUAUGGAACACCGUCCAUACUCUGCUGUUAGUGAGAUACAGGACCUCGCCCACACUCACCUCCCUACCAGGCACAUGAUGGGUUUGAGCCAUAAGAACAUUCCUAUGUGCACAUACAAACCCUAAUGCUUGGAUCUAGGUUUCUAUAAUUGAACAUGCAAUGUAUCCAAGACUUUGAUUGAUAGAUCUAAUGAAAACAUUCAAAUUAUAACACAUGAAAUCAGAUCUGAUGGAUUACCUUGAAUUGCUUGCUUGAAUCUUCUUGUCCUUGGAGCUUAGAGUCACAAUUGUCACUCCUCUAAUGGCUUACAAACACCAAGUAUCAAGAGAAUGAUAAUAGAGAGAGAGAGAGGAGGGUGAGAAAUCGGCCAGGGUUACUCUAAUACCAAGGGUGCCGAUUUCCUCAACCCUAUGGGUGUAUUUAUACUAGUGANCUGCUUACUUGCAUCUUCUUGUCCUUGGAGCUUAGAGUCACAAUUGUCACUCCUCUAAUGGCUUAAAAACACCAAGUAGCAAGAGGAUGAUAAUAGAGAGAGAGAGAGAGAGAGAGAGGAGGGUGAGAAAUCGGCCAGGGUUACUCCAAUACCAAGGGUGCCGAUUUCCUCAACCCUAUGGGUCUAUUUAUACUAGUGAGCUUCCUAGGGUUUCACCCUUAAAACCCUAAUUGGAUAACUUAGGCCCUAAGCAAUCCAAUAUCCUUAUUGAUAAGCCUUGGAUGAUUUCUAGGCUCUUCCAAACCCUAAAAUCGUCCACCCUCUUAUUCAUAAGGAAUCACAACCCAAAAUACAACUAUCGUACAAUUGACAGUUUAUGCCCCUUUAUUUAAUUAAUCUCUUUAAGUCACCAAAUUAAUUCCUAAUUAAUUUAUGACUUAUAUUAAUCAAAUAACAAUAUUAUUAUUCCUUAUAUUAUUCUCAUAAUAUAUUAAUAAUAUUUCUUCUCUCGUUAUAAAUCAUCCUGUCAANUAUAUACAAGCACAAUCCGAUUCGCAAUCGUAGCUCUCAAAGACGCUGUCAAACUUUGAUCCUAUCAGUCCUGUUCUUUAGAAAAGGGAUCGUAUAGUCCUCUGUUCAAACAUCACGCAGACACAAUCUUUGUCCAGUGUUUAGUUUCUCGAUCUCAGAUUUAUUCGACAUAGAACUUAAUCGAACACAUCAAUUAGUNCUAAUAUCCUUAUUGAUAAGCCUUGGAUGAUUUCUAGGCUCUUCCAAACCCUAAAAUCGUCCACCCUCUUAUUCAUAAGGAAUCACAGCCCAAAAUACAACUAUCAUACAAUUGACAGUUUAUGCCCCUUUAUUUAAUUAAUCUCUUUAAGUCAUCAAAUUAAUUCCUAAUUAAUUUAUGACUUAUAUUAAUCAAAUAACAGUAUUAUUAUUCCUUAUAUUAUUCUCAUAAUAUAUUAAUAAUAUUACUUCUCUAAUUAUAAAUCAUCCUGUCAAGUUGCUAUGGUGAAGGCAACCCAAAAGGAUCAUGCACAACCGGGUCAAAUACUUGCCAAAUAUAGCUACAGCCUUAGACACUAUUCCAACAGCACAUACAUGUAUCACACAGACAACAAGUAUAAUCUAUCAUGCGAACCAUUCCUUUGGGCACCUGCCCGCUAUCAAUGGACCUUGGUCCCAAAUAUCAUACUGACAAUUAAUGCCUAGGGCUAACCCCCGGGUCUUCCUACUCAUAACUACAUGGGCUGACACUAUGGCCGUAGACCCACCCACAUAAAAGGGAAACUCACCUGCACUUGCUGAACUUGCUGAUAACCCCUCUAGCUAUUGCCCGACAACUCUCUAAACUGCUGCUCCACUAGCUCCUCGAGCUAUCAAUAUCAAUAUAACACUUAGUCUAACUGACCUCUCAAAAGUCAACCAAGUCAACUAUGGUCAAAGUCAAAGUCCUGGUCAAGGUUAACCUUCCAGUUCAACCCUACUCGCCGAUUUUGCCUACUGACUCGCUGAGUUCCUAGGCUCAGAAUCCUUUCAUUCGCGACUCGACUCGCCGAGUCAUCCCCUGACUCGCCGAGUCCACCGAUUUCCGAGUCCUUUCCUGUCCAACUCACUGAGUCUCCACUCGACUCACUGAUUUGAGUCUUAACUCGAAGGGUUUGGGAUUUCGCGACUUGACGAGUCCAAGAACAGACUCACCGAGUCCAAGGCAAUCUUCAACAGACUCGCCGAGUUGUUCAUCCAACUCGUCGAGUUCCUCUUAAUCUUCGUACUACUCGCCGAGUCCACUCGAAGGACUCGCCGAGUCUAUUCAGUCCUUCAUACAUUCAGAGGCUUUUAGAGUCAUGCAGGGACUCCAAACUGUAGAUCCACUCUCCCAAAGUCCAUUCCUCACUUAAAGUUGCAACCUUUACGUGUAGCUAAUGAGAUCUAGGCUAAACACAUCACAAACUAGGGUUUAAGACAACCAUGCAUCACCUACACUCUCAAGACUGACACUUUAUGACUCUCUAGGCCAAGACACACCUGGAGCUGAAGGGAUUCAGCUUGGGGACGUCCAAACCCGAAAUGUAUCUUACUUGGUCAAAAAUCUCAUAAAGAGGGACAUGAAAAGAUCCAACAAAUAACAAGGCAAGGAAGGAACUUGGUUACCAAAAUGAGCAGCUAAAGAGAUGAAUCUUCUGGAUCCUCAACCUUCCUCUUGAACCCUCAACUCCUUCUUCUCCUUCUAGGCUUCAAGAACACUCCAACUCUUCAACAAUGGAUCACACACUCAAAGAGAUCACUAGGGUUUUGUGGAAUAGCUUAUGGAGAAUAGGGCUACAAAUGAGGCUGAUAUGAGGAGAAUGAGAUGCUUAAAUACGGUACAAGUCCCAGAAUUAGGGCUUUCCCAACCCAGACCAGACUCGCCGAGUCAAUCUCCCCGACUCGUCGAGUCGGUCACUUAAGCCGCGACACGGAUUACGCUCCGACUCGUUGAGUUCCUCCCCGGACUCGACGAGUUGACCCUUUGACUUAGGGUUUUCUUUCCUUUCAUGGCCUUUCUGAUCUUGGGUGUUACACACCAUGUAUGUUUGUAUGGUUAUUCACACCCUGUUUUGUGACCCUCGGCAUCCCAGUCACAAAUCGAGGGGCAUAUCGAGAUUUAAACAUGCCAUUGAAAAGUUCAAUGAAUCUCAUAGGAUCUAGGAGUUUUCAAUACAUUUAAAACUUAAUCUCUUUUUCGUUUUUCGUGGGUGAAAAUUAGUGAAUCGUCAUUCACUUACCUUCAAAUGUUCUGCAAUUUGGAUUACAACAUCCCUCUUCCAAGUUGUAAAACAUUGUGUUGGGUCCUAGCCUUAAUAUCUCAUCUGGGUGUUUUAUUAAGGACUCAAUCAACCAACUAACUUGAAUUUUCUCCUGUUUUGUAGAUGUCAAAGUAUGACAACCAUAGUCUUCCCAAAUACCUUGGAACAAGCUUUCCACAUGAAGAUGAUAUUCCACAAUUCGAUCGAGGAACAAGAGAUCAUGCUUCACUUCCUCCACCUCCUCCUAUUGUUCUCUCUAACCCAUAAGUUCAAAGGCUUGAAAAGUUCAAGCUCACUCAAGACCUUUUGGCAAGUAAACAUGAAGAAGGAAAGUCAGUGUCUGCACACGUCUUAAAGAUGAAGUCACACAUUGAUAGGUUAAUAAUGUUGGGAGUCGUUGUCUAUGAGAAGCUGGUUGUUGACUGGGUUUUCCAAUCGCUUCCUGACUCGUAUAGUGAGUUCGUAAGAGAGUACUAUAUGAUAGACCACGACGUGACCCUCAUCGAUCUCACCUAUUUGCUUGUUGCUGCUGAAUCAACAAUGAUUUAGCGCACUAGAGAAGCAAAGUUGAUUGGUGGAUCUGCCUUCAAAAUCUCCAUGGACAUAGGCAAUGGCAAUGAAAGGCAUGCCAUGGUCGAAAAGUCUGAUCACACGAGAAAGGCAAAGUCUGAGGUAGUUUCGUGUGCUGUUCCAAAAGAGUCAGUUUGCUUUUAUUGCCAAGAGAAGGGGCAUUGGAGAUGAAGUUGUCAUGUCUACCUGAGAGAUAUAAGAGACGGGAGAGUCAAGAUGUAUGGAUCUACUUCAGGUAAAAUCCAUUAACUAACUCUAUAAGUUCCUAUUUUUGAUUCUUAAUACACGAUGUGAUAAGAUUACAUUUGGUGUUUUGUAGGAUCGAAGAAAAGAGAGGAAGCUUAAAGGAAGAAAUGAGCUGAGUCUGAUCACGAAGAAGUGGAUUUCGAUCGCAUAAUUCGAUGAUUGUAUUUUUGGAGCUGCUACUUUAGAGUUAUGAUAGAUUGCUUAGGAAUAUGUAAUAGCGUAGUUUUUCAUUUGAAUUGCAUUGUAAGGACAAGUUUUUCCGCACCUUUUAUAAAUAAAAUAAAAUUUGGUUUUGUCUUAUUUAUAUAUUUCCUUGCAAUGGCAUGAAUGAAAAUUGACGUUCUUGUAUUUCUAGUUUUAGCGAUGUUGAAAUGGAUGUGAUUCUUAGUUAUGUUAUUUGUGAAAAUGUCGAGAAUUUACCAAAUAAGGAAAGAUUCUUGUCGCCCGAGUUUCAAUUGGACAGAAACUUGGAAUCAUACAACUUGUAUUGUAUGAUGAAUGAGAACCUGCAUAUUUGGAAAAUUAAGACUAAUUCCUUGAUAAAGAUUCGAGUGAAGGACUAGGAGAACUAGUACACAAUGUUGUGCACCAGUCAAGUCCACCACAAAGAAUAAUAAGUUUAUUCGUCAUGAUUUACUAAAAGUCUAGUAAAGGUGGUUAUACUUACAAGAUUAAGUGUAAUUCUGAAUCAUUGAAAAGUUUUAAUGAAUGGCAGACCGAAUAAGUAGAAUCAUUGAAGGCAGAAAGAUAAAAAGUUUCUCCAAUCUAAGAAGGGAGAGUACUUUUGUACCGUGUUUUAUGAUCAUCUUGGUAAUCGUAGGGAACAUAUUACAAUUCGUCCUCUAAGGAGACCUUAGUGCACUAGUCUGGCAAAGAAGAGGAAACGAGAAUUGUAGUAGUGGUUAAGUCAAUAAGAUGUAUCGUACUUCGUUCCAAAAUCAAGUCUUAGAGUCAUACUCCAAGAUUGUUACUUGAGUGACAUAAUCUUAAGUAGGAAUGUUCUUACACUUGCACAUUUUAGUAAGUUGUGAUGUCUUGAAUAAGACAAAGACCGACUAGUACCAAUUUGCGUGUAAGUUUUUUUUUGUCUUGAUAUAGACACACACUAACUCUUGAAUAUUUGUUUUGUCAAGAAAUGUUUCUUGAUAAGAGAAUCUAAUAUGUCAAGAGGUUAGUGGGAGUCUAAAUAUCUUGAAAAGUUUCAAGAACUAAUCGAGAGUAAACCUAUUAUUAAACGCUAGCACACGACUUGAGGUUUCUAACCUAUCGUGUUGACGUGUUCUUGUUUUUGUGCCAAUCCAUUUGAGUUGAUUAUGCAUAUGAGUUCUACGAGUUCUCAACAGACUGCAUAAGGCAAGCACCUUGUUCAAUGAAAGUACAUUCACUGGUAUACGUGAGCUGCUAAAUAACUUGGAAGCAAUGGUGGGACCCUUGAUGGCAAGAAAUUAAGUAUGAACAAGCUCUAUCCAUAAAGGUUUGGAUUUGUCACAAACAUUAUCUUAUGAUUAUGGUUAUGACAAAUUCACAUGGAUAUGAACACAUACACCAUAAAAUCUAAGUGUCAUAAGGUUUCUCUCCUUCAUGAAAAUGAUUGUGAGGAAAUGCUUUCACUAAGAGAGAUUUUAAGGAGAUAAUGAUUAUGUAAAUCGCAUUCUCAAAUUCGAUUAUGAUUACGACAUCCCUCUUCAUAGUUCAAAUUGUGAGAUUUAGCGAUUAGUUUGAACAUUUGGGACUUAGUAAUAUAAGUUUUGAAUAGACACACAUGCGAGCUGUCUAAGGAAAGGUGUAUGAGUUUGAGAAGCUUAGAUAAAGGCUUAUCGAAGCACAUCGUAUUGGAAAUAGGAACAUUGGAAGUCAAUAAGUAUUGUCUUCUAGAACUCCAACUGUUUUCUGAUACGUGUCAAAGCUAGUAGGAGCAUAAAUGUUAUGAUGGAAUGUAUAUAAUCAUCAUGUUAGUGAGAGCAUGAUUAUUAUUUUAAGUGUUGCAAGUUGGCAAUAUUAAUUAUAGAAAAACAAAAGUUUCACUUUGCAAAGUUGCAGGGGUCGAAAAGUUGUUUUGCUAUAGUUAAAGGAGAGAAUGUUAUACUUCGUUUCAAAUCUAAAAGCUUAGAUCGAGAAAUUUUAAUUGAAUUUAGUCAUGGAUAUAUUUAUUAAUUGCAUUCUCAAAGCUCCAUUAUGAUUACGAUAUCCCUCUUCAUAGUUUGAAUUUUGAGAACACGACAAAUAGAAAUAUUAUGGAAAUAUUAUAGCAAGAAAAUGGUAAAGUAUCACGUUUUUCGUUAUGAAUCGUAUCUCAUACGCUUCGGAUAUAGGAUCGAUUGCAUAUGCUAUAAUAUUCGACCAUUCUAAAAUUUUCCAAAUGCAUAGGGCAUUUAAAGGGAAAAUCGGAUUUGACUAAAAUAAUUAAACAACUGUCAAGAACAAUCUAAGGUUCGCCAAGGAUUGGUCGCUUGCGGACAAUUGGAAGUAUAGUCAUGGAUGGACCAUAUUGACAUUAUUAUGAAUAUAUAAGAUUAUAUUUAGAAUGAGUUGUCAUAUGGCAAAUAUGGAAAUGUUUCCUUAUUGGGAGUAGGACGUUAAGAAUCUAUGUCUAGAUUAGAAACUUCUAUGCAAGAAGGGUGUUCAAAGGAAUGUACUUUGAAUGUGAGACUUCAUGACUAUGGAAUUGUCUUGUAACAAUAUCCAAUAGAGCACUUUGUAAUUUCAUUGGCAAAGUCUUGGUGACUUCGGCGUUGUGAUAUUACGAAAGGACCGUUGCAUAAAAUGUUAGGAUCUAACAUAUUUUAGUAGUGGCGAGGAUUUUGUAUUCUUACACUAAUUGAUUAGGUUUAGGAAUUGUGAAAUGAGCAUCAUUGGAAAUGUGUUUACUUGAUCUAUUUCACAAAGUAAAGACCAUAGGUAAACAUAGUGUGCAUGCUUGGUGCAUGGGACAACUGUUGUUAUAAUUCAAGUAAGAAGCUGAUUACCAGAAACAAAAAAUAAUGAGUAAUCAAUAUGGUGAUUAAAUAAAAGGUGUUUUAUUUAUACUCAAAAGUUUGGGGCCAUAUAAGAUUAGUAUUAUUCUUGUAUUUCACUUUGCAUGUUUUGACUUCCCGAAUAAUAAGAUUAUUCAAACCCUCCACAGUCGCUCAUACUUUGGAAGUCGGUAUGAAAGAAGAUUGUCAUGAAUUCGUCUCUCGAUUGUCUAAAGCGUUUAGACAUAGCACAAGUUUGCUGCAGAGUUCAUGAGUGCUCCUAUAAGAUUAGAGUAUUGGAUUAAACCCACGUUCACUUGGAUCGCUUCAUGGAUAUUAUCACGAGUGAUUGGUGAGACGAUAAUAUCUUAUAUUCUUGAAACCAAGAUGUGUGAGUUGCAUUCUGCAAGUCGGUUGCACAUUGAUAAUAUGUAAAUGCACCAGUAACUUGGUGUUAUAAAACAUAUUGUUUUGUGUGAUUUGAUGAGUAGGUAUAAGCGAGCAUUCGAUUCGAAGUUUAUCCGUUCCUUUCACCCAAAGUAGGGUAAAAGCAAUAUAUGUGGGCCCCUCGAUGAUAUAGUGAUGACACCCUAAGCGCUUGGCCAAGCCGAGACUAAGUUGAUGUGUUCAAUUGUAGUAUGUUGUUAGUCAUCAUAAAUCGGAAAUCGGGAAACAACACAUAGACUGAGAGAAGGAUUAUAAUCCAUGUCUCAUGUAUAUAUGAUAUCUAGAACGGAGGAAUAUAUGAUCCUUAUCUAAUGGACAGGUUGCUGAUAAGAUCAGAGUUCGACGGCGUCAUUGAGAGCUAAGAUUGCUAAUCGGAUUCUACUUGCAUUUAUGGUUACUAGACUUAUCCAAGUGGGAGACUGUUGGAUUAGUGUCUAAGCCCGUAACCAUAUUUGGUAAGUACUUGACCCGAUUGUACAUGGUCCUUUUGGGUUGCCUUUACCAAAGCAACUUGUCUGGAGAUAUAAUAGAGAAAGAGGCUAUUGUGGUUUAUUAAUAUAUAAUAAGAAUAAUAUAUUAAAAGAGAAAUCAUAUUUAUUUAGUUAACAUUGGUCAAGAAUCAAUUAAGAAUUAAUUUUGUGACCAAAAUAAGUUAACUGAACUAAGGGGAUUGAACUGUAAUUAUGUGACAGUUUGGGGCCAUAUAAGAUUAGUAUUAUUCUUGCGUUUCACUUUGCAUGUUUUGACUUCCCGAAUAAUAAGAUUAUUCAAACCCUCCACAGUCGCUCAUACUUUGGAAGUAGGUAUGAAAGAAGAUUGUCAUGAAUCCGUCUGUAGAUUGUCUAAAGUGUUUAGACAUAGCACAAGUUUGUUGCAGAGUUCAUGAGCGCUGCUAUAAGAUUAGAGUAUUGGAUUAAACCCAUGCUCACCUGGAUCGCUUCAUGGAUUUUAUCACGAGUGAUUGGUGAGAUGACAAUAUCUUAUAUUCUUGAAACCGAGAUGUGUGAGUUGCAUUCUGCAAGUCGGUUGCACAUUGAUAAUAUGUAAACGCACCAGUAACUUGGUGUUAUAAAACAUAUUGUUGUGUGUGAUUUGAUGAGUAGGUACAAGCGAGCAUUCGAGUCAAAGUUUAUCCGUUCCUUUUACCCAAAGUGGGAUAAAAGCGAUAUCUGUGGGCCCCCUCGAUGAUUUAGUGAUGACACCCUAAGCGCUUGGCCAGGCCGAGACUAAGUUGAUGUAUUCAAUUGUAGUCUGUUGUCAGUCGUCAUAAAUCGGAAAUCGGGAAACAACACAUAGACUGAGAGAAUGAUUAUAAUCCAUGUCUCAUGUAUAUAUGAUAUCUAGAAUGGAGGAAUAUAUGAUCCCUUAUCUAAAGGACAGGUUGCUGAUAAGAUCAGAGUUCGAGACGUCUUUGAGAGCUACGAUUGCUAAUCGAAUUCUACUUGCAUUUAUAGUUACUAGACUUAUCCAAGUUUGAGAUUGUUGGAUUAGUGUCUAAGCCCGUGACCAUAUUUGGUAAGUGCUUGACCCGAUUGUGCAUGGUCCUUUUGGGUUGCCUUCACCAAAGCAACUUGACUGGAGAUAUAAUAGAGAAAGAGGUGUAACAUCCCAAAAUACGACCCAAAAAAUUUCGUUUUAACACUACUAAAAAUCAUAUACUUAAAGUUAUCUCAUAACAACCAUACGUCAAUAUCUCAAACCAAAAACAAGUAUCAUGAUAAAAACUGUAUCAAACUGUAUCAAAUCACAUCUAAGGAAACCGGACAAUCUCCCAGUAAUAAAAACGGAAGCUGUGGUGUGUGCUAUGCCAUCAUCCCGAGCUCUUCCCUUUGUUUGCGGAAGUACCUGAAACCAAAACUAAAAACCGUAAGCACGAAGUUUAGUGAGCUCCCCCCAGACUACCACAUACCAUAGAAUAACAUAUAAAGCACAUACUGGGCUUUGCCCACUGCAUCAGACCGAAGUCCAGAACUAACCAGGGCCUUGUCCUCUGCAUCGGACCGAAGUCUGGAACUGACCGGGACCUUGUCCCCUGCAUCAGACCGAAGUCCGGAACUAACUGCAUCAGACCGAAGUCCGGAACUGACUGGGACCUUGUCCCCUGCAUCGGACCGAAAUUCGGAACUGACUGAACAUAGCAUAACAUAAACACAUAUCAACUAGUAUAAAAACAUAUACUGCAUACUACAUCGGACUGAAGUCCGAAACACAUAACACAUACACAUGCUUGAAUCACAAAGACAUCAAGCACCCUGAACUACUACAUCGGACCGAAGUCCGAAACUGACUACUAACUAAACGGGCCGAAAUUGUGGCCGUAGACCCGUUCCUACUGGAAGGAAACUCACCUCGUAAUCUGGCUGCUGAAUGAACUGCUCGGGAAAUUGUCUGUUGCUGCUCCAGUAUCUCCCUGGCUACAAUUUCCAUAAGUACACUCAAUCAAUUAUUGAUAACUAUACUUAGGGUAAAAUGACUAUUUUACCCAUAGUCAAAGUCAACAUGCAGUUGACCUGAAUCCUCGAGUUGGGCCGCCAACUCGUCGAGUCCCUAUUCUCACUUCUCACUUCUGCUCGCUACUACUCGUCGAGUUUGGCAUAGACUCGACGAGUUCCUCUUCGAUACUAACACUUAGUAAAUCUGCAUCCGACUCGACAAGUUGUAUGAACAACUCGUCGAGCUCUUCUUCAUCACAUGCACACUCUGGCUGUGACUCGCCAAGUUGUAUGAACAACUCGUCGAGUCUGUUCUUGAGGUAUGAAGAUUGCCUUGGCCUCGCCGAGUCAGGGCAUUGACUCGCUGAGUCCCUCCAUGAAUGAGUCCGAUCUCCGACUCACUGAGUCCACCUAUAACUCAUUGGUUCCACUCGACGUAACACAUAAAAGGGGAAGAAAUCGGGGACUCGUGACUCGACUCGCCGAGUCUGAAGAACAACUCGCCGAGUCGGUUGCAUGCAAACACUACUCCGUUAAUUCUGCUCAAAUCCAUUGCAUACAACUUAUAGAUCUGGGUUCCUAAAGCUUGAUUAACACGUAAAGUUUCCAACUUUACGUGUAUAUAGGCAUCAAUGCAGGUUUAAAGGAUCAAAAUGCACUAAAAGAGUAGAUCUAGGGUGUUCAUGCAAAAAGGGUUCCAUAAAGGCAGAAGAUCUAAGCUUCUGGAGCUCAAACAUAGAUUGAUCUGAAGGCUAUUCGACAACACAUGCCUUCAAUACUAUUACCAAGCCAAAAAUGAUAAAAACAAGCCAAACAAGAGAUCUAAUUGAGGAAUGCCAAAGGUUUGAGCUUGAUACCUCAAAGAAGACUGUGAUGCCACAAAAACUCGGAUCUACUUGCUUCUCCCUUGAUUCCUCCUCUUCUCUUAUCUUCUUCUAUUCCACAAAUGAACCAUAAUUUCACAAAGUGAGAAAAUUACACCAAAAUGAUAAGGGUGGCUAGGGUUUUCGUAUGAGGCUUUUCUGUGGGUGAGGGAGGCUACUGAAUGCCCAAAGAGUUGUUUAAAUAGGGUACAAACCCGGGGAUUUAGGGUUUUAUCCAGACUGAUGGACUCAUUGAGUCCCGGAUUUGGACUCGUCGAGUCGCCCACUUACACGUGCUCGAAAUCCUGUCUCUACUCGACGAGUUGGGCUACUGACUCGUCGAGUCCCUCUUGAAACUCGAAGAAGAAUAACAUUAAAAUAACAUACCAGAAUCGGGGCGUUACAAGAGGCUAUUGUGGUUUAUUAAUAUAUUAUAAGAAUAACAUAUUAAAAGAGAAAUCAUAUUUAUUUAGUUAACAUCGGUCAAUAAUUAAUUAAGAAUUAAUUUUGUGACCAAAAGAAGUUAACUGAACUAAGGUGAUUGAUAAUUAUGUGAUAGUUGCAAAGUAGGGCAAAGGAUGCCCUAUACGAUAUGGUGGACGAAUUCAAGGGGAUGAGGCCUUACAAUUCGUCCAUGAUAAGGUUUCUAGGGUUAUCAUUUGGACUGCUUGGUGGGCAAGCAAUCGGAUAAGGACAAGGACUAAAACCCUAAUUCCUGCACCUAUAUAAAGACCCCUUGGCAUAAGAAAUUCGGCCACUUGAUACCUAGGGUUCCUAGAGCCGAAUUUCAUACCUCCCCUCUCUUUCUCCCUUGCCUCUCCAUUUGCUCUUGGUGUUUGUGAUCAAUUAGAGGUACUACACUUGUGGUACCUGCUUUCAAAGACAAUAAGAUUCAAGAUACAAGUUGGUAUUACAUCAUAACAACAAGAGGUAUGUAUUCCAUUCUCCAUUGUGUUUUUUCGAAAUUACCUAGGAGCAUGAUAGGUUUCUUUUGUGUUCAUAAUGUUGUAUAACUAAUAGUGAAAACAUAGAUCCAUAUCUAGGGUUGCUUGCACACAUAGGAUUGUUUGUAAAAAAACCCAUCAACCACAACACCCUAACAAUACACAUGCACCUGGGGGUCACUCAACCUCACCCCUAGAGGAAGGCUAACUGUCUCACAACUGACCUACCGGCCUCACACAAACCACUCAUCCAGGAAACUUCCACUAACCCUGCAGCACUAGCGUAUGCUAGCCAUACAUAACGUUGGACCCUAUAGACUUUUGAAUAUCUGAUCCUACCCUAAGCCCCUAAUCGACUAGAAAAAAACAUAAGGUCGAAUCAAGCAUUCUUAGGCUAUAAGAUCUUAAUUAUGUACAGUCGUGGUACAUACACAAGUAACUACAGUAAUGAUGCCAAUCUCAUAUAAGGAAACCCUAGGCUAGUAGGCAUCAUGAAAUCAGACAAUUCUAUCAUGCAAUUCCUGAAGAUCCUAGCCUAGUACUAGCAUGUUGUUCUAACAUAUCACAAUAUCAAAUAAUCGUUUGGUAUUUUGGGGUCUACUUACUGGCUAUGGCUAAUCAUACACCCUGUAUCCUCCUUUACUUAUUUUGAAAACCAUUUGAAAAUCAUUUUAAAAAUCUUUUCCUUGAUUUGAGACUGGAGCCACACGAGUGCUCCUCCAAUUCACUCAAACUAAGGCUCUGAUACCAACUUGUAACACCCAAAAAAAAUGCAAGCCAAUUUAAAACUUUUCAAAACAUUAAAAACCAACAAUUACUACAUGUUUAUUUUCAAAAUAGUCUAUAUCAGAUUUUUCCCAGAAAUAUAAACAAAACAUGAGGAGUUGUACGAUCAUGCCUUCGUCUUGCCGCGAUCCCCUGAUGUACCUGAAACAAUAAACUGAAACUGUAAGCCUGAUAGCUUAGUGAGUUCCCUCAAAAUACCGAUACACUGCAUAUAACACAUAUACAAAUAACAACAUAUAUUGGGUCCACAACUUUACAGACGCUUUCGGGCCCACAACUCACAUCCGGAUUGCCAUUGAGCCCACAGUACGAGUCUCCCUCAACUCGUAUCUGGAAUGCUCCCGGGUUUGUUGGUUACCGCACGAAGCAGUUUCACCUUAACCCAUACUACAUAAUAUGUCGACAUAUAACACAACUAAUGCACAUACAGAUAAUCACAUAAUACUACAGGUAGUCCUACGGGACUACCUAAUUGAUAUAACAACUAGCAUGCAGACAGUCAGACCAACUAUAGGUCACUAAGCAUAACCACAUCCGAUCUACCAGGAUACCGGUCUAACAGAUCAUACUAGCAUAUAACCAUCCUAUCCACCAGGAUAUCGAGCUAACAUAUCACAACAGUAAUAAUUCCAAUAACCAAACAAAGGGCCGACCUUGGUGCCUUAGACCCUUGAGUACAGUAAGGAUAACUCACCUCGCAACUGUCAACUCGAAAAAUAAGCUCAAACUCUCGGAUCACCUCCACAAGCUCCACCAACUAUAUUCGCCACACAACGAUGUUCAUAAAUUCCCAAAAUGCCCCAGAAGUCCAAUAGUCAACCCUUGGUCAAAGUCAAAGUCAAUUGUCAAUGUCAACAGUCCAUGUUGACCUGAACUCGUCGAGUACAACCAGCCACUCGCCAAGUUCCUUGCAUAACUCGUCAACUCGGCGAGUCACUUGAGUAACUCGUCGAGUUCCUAGUGUUUGUGGUCGUGAACUCCUUAGCCAACUCGACGAGUUUCCCUUACAACUCGCCAAAUUCACGUGUAUCCAAAGGUUGGGAAAACCCUAGUUGACUCGCCAAGUCAUUCUACCGACUCGCCGAGUCUACAACAAUCUUCAUCAGACUCGUCGAGUUGACCAUGCAACUCACCGAGUCCCUUCAGUCCUUCAUCCAAAGAGAUUCUUUUUAAUCCAUGCUAAGGUUCCAUAUUGCAGAUCCAAAUCCCCAAGGCAUGGUUAUCAUGUAAAGUUGCAAAAUUUACGUGCAUGCAAGGCUCUAGAGACUCUAAAUGACUAAUACAAGCUUGCAAUGGAGUUUUACACCUUAGGAGAGUCUUAUCCUUGCAAAAGCUGGAAGAUUUAUGGACUUAGAGACCCAAGGGAGUUCAGAUCUGAAGUUGAAACUUCAGAUCUUAGCUCAAACACAAGAAAGGCCUCCUAAUAUGCUAGAAAAGCCUUAAAAUCCACCCAAAUGAGAUCUAGAAUGAAAUGAGGUCAAGAUGACGGCUUAAUACCUUCCAAAGGAUGCCAACUGAGGUAGAUUUCUGAUUCUCACACGUUCCUUGCUUAUAGUAAUUUGUUCUCCAAGAUUUUCUCACCAAAAAUCCUAUUCCAAAGCUUGAACACACAAAUGGAGCACUCUCACACGAAUUAGGGUUUAUGGAAUAUCAAGAGGCUAUAAGGGGAGGUUGAAGAGGCCAAUGAUCCUUUAAAUAGGGUGAAAAUCCCCGGAAAUUAGGGUUUCAUCAUCCAGCUCCUACUCGUCGAGUCCUUUCUUGGACUCGUCGAGUAGGUCACUUAAACAUGUGGACCAACCCACUGCUACUCGACGAGUCAGGGAAACAAACUCGUCGAGUAGACCUUGAAAUCAAGAAAAUCUUAUAACCAAAAAUCAAUACCUGUGAAUUGGGGAGUUACACUAAUCGUCAUUUCGUGUGAAACCCUAAGCGUCAUUUCAUGUGAUGUGGUCACUGUUGCAAGUGACUAUGACCUAUGAUCGGGUAUUGACUCAAGUAUCUUCUUGUAGGUGUUUGGAAGUAAGUUGAAGCUGGUAUAGCCCUUCAUUACUAUAGUGGUUUAUGUACGCACAUCGAUGUAAGUUUCGCCUCAUUGUAACCGUGGGUCGAAGGCACCAAUGCCGACCCACUAGUAUUGAUUAUAUGCUCGUAGAUGGAUGAUCUAGGGAUUGUAUAUAGUCAUGUAGGAUAUACUGAGGACUCUUGAUCUAAGCUCUCUUACAUGUUCCUUGUUUGGUUGUGGCUUUAGAGUAUGAUCAACUAUCCGGGCGACUAUCUCACCUCUGAGUAUGUACGGUUAUGCAUUCCUUGGAUUGUUGAUAUUUAGUAUGUUGUUAUGCUGUAGUGAUCUAUCAGAUCUGUGUUCUGGUAUUGAGUAUGCUGUUAUGCUGUAGUGAUCUAUUAGAUUUGUGCUCUGGUAUUGAGUAUGUUGUUAUGUUGUUAUGAUAUGUAUGUUUUGUGCUUGGUUGUUGAUUGAUUAUGUGUUGUGAGUAUGUCGACAUAUGUAUGUGUAUGUUUGGGUUGAGAUGAUCCUGCUUUGUGCUAAAGGCCAACAGAACCAGGGUGGCCCGAAUAGACUGAAGGCCUUGCGAGGCGGACCAGUCAGACUGAAGGCCCGACAAGUGGUCCAGAUAGGCUGUAGGCCCUAUGAGGCGGUCCAGACGUGUCGAAGGCUCAGGAGCGGUACGGAUAGGCUGUAGGCCCUACGAGGCGGUCCAUUCAGGCUAAUGGCUCAUUGAUCUGUUAGUUUUGUAUUCUGGUAGAUAGGAUGGUGCUAUGCUCAUUGAUUUGUUAGAUCUUUAUCCUGGAUAUAGGAUGAUGUUAUGAUCAGUGAUCUGUUAGAUCUGUAUCCUGGUAGUUAGGAUGGUGUAAUGGUUAGUGAUUUGUUAGACCUGUUGACUGUUUACACAUGCUAGCUAGCUUUUGAUAUCUAUGUGUUGAUUGUGUUUGGUUGGGUUGAGGCGGUCCUGCUUUGUGCUGAAGGCCAACAGACUUAGGGUGGACCAGAUAGACUGCAGACCCAUUAGGGCAUACCAAUUAGGUCGAAGGCCCAGAGAACGGUUCAGACAGGCUGAAGGCCCGGGAGGGUGGACCAGACAUUUUGAAGGUUAUGAUUAGACAGGAUGGUGCUAUGCUCAUUGAUUUGUUAGAUCUUUAUCCUGGAUAUAGGAUGAUGUUAUGAUUAGUGAUCUGUUAGAUCUAUAUCCUGGUAGUUAGGAUGGUGUAAUGGUUAGUGAUUUGUUAGACCUGUUGACUGUUUACACAUGCUAGCUAGCUUUUGAUAUCUAUGUGUUGAUUGUGUUUGGUUGGGUUGAGGCGGUCCUGUCACACCCCCGAACCAGACGGCGGAAACGUCCGGGGGCUGUCGUGACUCAAUUGAAUACCAUAACAUUGAAUAUAUAUGAAACAAACAACAUUCGUCACCAUUCAUCAACAUAAUACAACCAGUAGUGUUUACAUGUCAUACAUUGUUUGAGAUAUUACAUUUCCAAAAAUUAAUAUUGUUUGGUUCAUUCAAAAAUAAACUGCAACCGUCACUGAGCAUGAUUUCCCUUGACUCACUGGUUUCCUGAGAAUACAAGUAUUUUGAAAAACGUCAACAUAUGAAAUGUUGGUGAGUUCAUAAGUAGUGUUUGAAAUCGAAUGUUUAUAUUGUUUG